rnacentral:tRNA from 1 species
UACCUUAUAGGUUAAAUAAACUAAAUAAUUUGCUAUUAUUAGAUAAUUAAGGUUA